AAAAGGAUUGUCCACAUUAGUGUGACAGAGCUCUGAUAUGAACUCAGCUGCUCCAAACACAUCUGUACUUCCCCCCAUGGUCUUCUGAAGACCCCUGAGGGAUGAAAUACGGUCCUGGAAGGAAGAAAAAAAGGCAUCUUUCACUUCAGCGCGGAGCGUGAAGCCAAACGGUGCGACAGCGCUUCAAACGGCUGUGUAGACUAACUCCCCUUCAAAAUAAAGUCAUCCUCAGGUUCCCUUGGACGUUUGCUGAGGCCUGUUUGCCACCUUGAGUGAGGCAAAAUGAGACACCCAUUUAUGAGAAAAAGAAUUUCUAGAAUAAAGAACAUUCAUCAAUGUAACUGAAAUUGUUUAAUUGAUCUAUUCAUAUCCAUGUUUUUUUUUUUUACUUAUCAGUAUACACUGAAGAAAAAUGAAAAUUGUUAGUCAGAAACUGCUCGUACAAAUAAUUACAAAAAACGAAGUAAUGCUAUGAAUUAACAUUAAUUUUUUGUAAUAUAAAGUUUUUUCUUAGUCUGCACUUAUCAAAUGUACCAGGGUUUUAAAACGUUACAUCCAA